ensembl:lncRNA
GUAAAUUUAAAUUUGUUUGUGGCAGUCUGUACCCGUGUUGACACUUGGUGGUUUCUCUUUCCAGUGAAGAGGUGGGUGGAGGCUGCCUGGAACAGUUGGCUUUAUGACCCCCUUUUGGAUAAUUUCUUUUGGAAUGAACUCAAUGGAGACUUACUCUGUUAGUCCUGCUUUUCCUCAGUCAGAGAGCUGAAAGCUUUUAAAUUAUAUUUUUCAGCUUGCCACUGCUUCUUCAGUGAAUCUGGAAGGAUGUGUCUGUUCUUCGACAAGGACACUAAGUUGUUUUAUCAUAUAGACUCUUUGUUAAAAAGCUGUUUGAUAACUUUGUUUGUUCUUUACUCAGUUAGUCAUAACCAUGGAUGUUCAUUUGAUCUCGCCAGGAACUCGCAUGGCAUCUGAGUAUAUUCUCACUUUAUCACCCCAUCAUUAUCACUCCUCAAAACUUUUAAGGAGAACUGUGAAGGGAAUCUGUCCGUCCUUGCUCAGUGUUAGUGACUGCACACCCAUAGAGUUUCCUGUUUUUAUUCAGGGUUAUUGACUGAUUCAUAAAGCCCAACACAUACCAAAAAUUUGCACUGUUGCAGUCGUGUUUAUAUUCUCUCCCUUUAUGCCUCUGUCAGUGUUUUGUUUUUUUUUAGGUUUUUUUAGCUUAUUUCAGUUGUGUGUUUGUGUGAUGUGUUUUCCACUGCCUGACCUGGUUUUGAGUCUUGUAACAUUUCAACUGUAUCUGAAUGUUUCAACUAUGUUUUGCAGAUAGUUGUAGACGUUCUCUCCUGACCUUCACCAUUCAUACUGAUGGUGUUUUGUUCUUAAUGUUUUCAAAUUUGGAUUCAUCACUCCAUAAGUUCUUGUGUAAUUUGACAUACCUCAACCUUUUUGCCUUGUUUCUCUUCCUUAUUAAUGGCUUCUUGACAGCCACCCUUCCACUGAGACCAUUUCUGAUGAGGCGUCAGUGAGCAAUAGAUCAUCUGAAGGAUCAGAUGCAUCUCUCAGGUGUUGUGUCAGGUCUUUGCUAUACUUUUCCCCAUUUCUUAAUGACAUCUGCUACA